GGCCCGGGGUCCGCGGCUUCCGGCGCCGGCCGCCGCCUACGCCCUGCGCGCCCGCCAGGAGGCAGCUUCGUGCUGAAAGCCUCUUUCCGGCGCGCUCCGCCCGUGCUUCCCUUCGAUAGCUCAGCUGGUAGAGCGGAGGACUGUAGUGGGAUGUGCGGCAGUCAUCCUUAGGUCGCUGGUUCGAUUCCGGCUCGAAGGAGUAGCCUGCAUUUUGGGCUUGCCACGCACUGAAAGCAAACGCCUCCGUCCAUCGUCCCUGGGUCGUUCCCCCUCUCCACGGAGGGAUCGCAACAAACCUUGCGCAGUGGCUCAGUACCACUAGUCCGCCUUAUAAAGAAGAAAACCUGAGGCUUCGGCCCCUCCUUCAUGUUUGCUUUUAGUUUCCAAUUAAGCCCAGUUUGCUGCCCUGCGUCCGGGCACCAAAGAACGCAAGAAGGGACAGAACCUCCCGGACUUGCCCCGACGGCCCGCGGGACUGGGAUGUGCAGAACAGAACCUCUUAGUGACCCCGGGGACGGCCCCGUAGACGCGCCGGCCCCCAGCCUCGCUGGCCCCGUCGGCCGCCGGGGUGGCCCCAGCCUGGCGGGACACGUCCUGCGCCCGUCCGCGGCGCGCAGCAGCCCUGCUCUGCAGCCGAGCCACCCCGGAGCGGCUCGUUGGUCUAGGGGUAUGAUUCUCGCUUUGGGUGCGAGAGGUCCCGGGUUCAAAUCCCGGACGAGCCCUGCUCUUUUAGCUGCUGGAAAAAGUUUGCCUCUCUACAAACUUUCUCGCGCUCUGACAGUUCCUAGGUUCCCGGAGCUGCCCCGCGAGCCUCCCCGCGUCCCCCUGGCUCUUGGUGCGUCUGCGGCUGGAGUUCCUCCUGGCAGUCAUCUGCAGCUGGUUCCCGUGUGGAAACCCACAUUGGUUGUCCGCUGGGGGGUUGGGGUUACUGCUUUGGGUUUUGCAGGCGGGCCCAGGCUGGAGGACCGGCCUGGAGAAACGCCCACCCUCCGUUCCUCUGCACCCGCCCCAAUCUGUUUGCGUGGCCAGGCGACGCCGACCUCACCGAUUUCCGCGACGAGAUUCCCAAGCGAGCUUCACUUCUGCUGUUCGGCAUCCCGCUGGGAAAGCAGGGGCGAGGAACAGCCACCGCCUCCAGCUCCGCGGCCAGACUCCAGUUACACAGGCCUGGGCAACUAA
rnacentral:tRNA from 1 species